rnacentral:rRNA from 1 species
CAGUCGAACGGCAGCAUGGGUGCUUGCACCUGAUGGCGAGUGGCGAACGGGUGAGUAAUGCGUCGGAACGUACCAAGUAAUGGGGGAUAACUACUCGAAAGAGUGGCUAAUACCGCAUACGCCCUAAGGGGGAAAGCAGGGGAUCUUCGGACCUUGCGUUAUUUGAGCGGCCGACGUCUGAUUAGCUAGUUGGUGGGGUAAGAGCCUACCAAGGCGACGAUCAGUAGCGGGUCUGAGAGGAUGAUCCGCCACACUGGGACUGAGACACGGCCCAGACUCCUACGGGAGGCAGCAGUGGGGAAUUUUGGACAAUGGGGGGAACCCUGAUCCAGCCAUGCCGCGUGUAUGAAGAAGGCCUUCGGGUUGUAAAGUACUUUUGUUAGGGAAGAAAAGCUUGCUGCUAAUAUCAGUGAGUGCUGACGGUACCUAAAGAAUAAGCACC